AUGAUCCUGUCAUUUUCAUUGUACUAAGAACGAGAGACAGACGCUAUUUUAACCGCGUGGAAUAAUCCUACUUACUAGUGACGCCAUUUUGUUUUGUGUGGUUUAAAGUUUGAAAGUGCACUUUUAAAGUUUGUGUUUUUAAUUAAAACGGUAUUAAAAGUUAUUCAAAAUGAGUUACGGACGACCACCACCCCGUAUUGACGGGAUGGUGUCAUUAAAAGUGGACAAUUUAACGUAUCGCACGACACCUGAAGAUUUGCGCCGCGUUUUCGAAAGAUGCGGUGAUGUUGGCGACAUAUACAUCCCCAGAGACCGAUAUACAAGAGAAAGCAGAGGAUUUGCAUUCGUCAGAUUCUACGACCGGCGCGAUGCUGAAGAGGCCCUCGAUUCCUUGGAUGGACGUAUGUUAGAUGGGAGGGAACUCCGCGUUCAGAUGGCGCGCUAUGGUCGGCCAUCGUCACCAUACCGCAGCAGAUACGAUCGUCGCCGCAGCAAUUCCCGUUCACGGUCUCGUUCACGUCGUCGAUCCAGGUCUAGAUCCCGCUCGCGCCGCCGGUCGUACUCUCGCAGCCGUUCGCGCUCCCGCUCCAGGUCGAGGUCUCGCUCUGACUCCAAGAGCUCCAGGGGACGCUCUCGCAGCCGCUCCAGGUCCCGCUCACGCUCCAGGCAUUGAUAUGUGUGGUUGAGUGCCGAUAAUUAGCUGAAAAGCUGCAUUGUCCUGUCUCAAGCAGCUUGGGCUAAGGACGCGAGGAGAUCGCGGGGAGCGAGGCGGUUUGCGGGGAGGGGGGGUGGUUCUUGCCGAUUGCUGACAACUGCUGAAUUGCUGUUGUUGCAGUGCAUAAGUUAUGAGUAAUAUUUUAAUAUUUAUUGACAAACCGAGACACGCAUCGGCUCUAUGGUGGGGCCAUUUAUCCAUUUCAUUAUCAAUAUUAAUUCACAAAGGAGUGAGAUGUAUUCUGUUAAUACCAUCGCAAUUACUUCACGAUAUCAUAAAGAUAUGACUAAAUUUGGUGUUUGAACUUCAAAUGAAUUUGUGGGCAAUCAUUUCUAUUGUUUGUUGCAAAUGUUUGAUGUUGAAAUCCCAAUAUUUAUUGAUACCUUUAUGAUUUCUGUCUGUGGUAUUUCCAUAAUCAUCUUGCCAGUUUCAUUAAAGUUUGGAAUUCAGCAGUUUAGUGGAAACUAACAUAUGGAUUUGUUUGGCAGGCCGGUGCUGCCGCUGGCCUGUAUGCUGUGGCAGUUUGCUGUGCUGUUUCCUGUGAUUUGCAGAUCGCGUCUAGGUUUCUCGGUAAAAUAACGGAUACUCCCUCCCUGCUAUAAAACUAACAAAGUACAUGUCUAGGGCAACGUUAUUUUUUUAGGUUUUAAAGAAAGGGUAAAGCACAAUUUUAUGAUCUAUUUUUCGUCUGUGACACUGGCCUUUCUUUAAAAUUAUCGUCAAGAAUGAAGAGUCUUCAGACAUGGAUAUGUGACACAUAUUGUACCUAGGUUUACGAGUUGUCUUAAAUAAAGUAUUCUUAGAA